GACGAACGCUGGCGGCGUGCUUAACACAUGCAAGUCGAACGGAAAGGCCCUGCUUGCAGGGUACUCGAGUGGCGAACGGGUGAGUAACACGUGGGUGAUCUGCCCUUCACUUCGGGAUAAGCCUGGGAAACUGGGUCUAAUACCGGAUAGGAGCCAUUUUUAGUGUGAUGGUUGGAAAGUUUUUUCGGUGUAGGAUGAGCUCGCGGCCUAUCAGCUUGUUGGUGGGGUAAUGGCCUACCAAGGCGGCGACGGGUAGCCGGCCUGAGAGGGUGGACGGCCACAUUGGGACUGAGAUACGGCCCAGACUCCGACGGGAGGCAGCAGUGGGGAAGAUUGCACAAUGGGCGCAAGCCUGAUGCAGCGACGCCGCGUGGGGGAUGACGGCCUUCGGGUUGUAAACUCCUUUCGCUAGGGACGAAGCUUUUUGUGACGGUACCUAGAUAAGAAGCACCGGCUAACUACGUG
rnacentral:rRNA from 1 species